GCCUAGUUAGCUUAGUUGGUAGAGCGUCUGUCUUGUAAGCGCUAGGCCGCGGGUUCGAUUCCCGCCCGAGGCG
rnacentral:tRNA from 1 species